GGGUCUGGGCACCCAAGAGCAGUGCUGGGCAGAGGGCAGGUGGAGGUGGGGCUGUCCCCUCUUAUGCCACCUCAAGGUUCCGGUCCGACCCCGAAGGGGAAAUGAAUGCAGUAGAUGAUCCCAGUCCUCCCCUUCCCUGCUGCCAUCCCUGGGGGCGGCGUGGGGAACAGAGUCGUCUGGGAGCAGGCACACGUGGGUACUCACCCCCAGUUAGGGAAACAGAAGGACUGCUGACUGGCGUUCCUGUGCCCCCGAAGGUGGCUGACAGCUUUGGGUGGAAUGUCACAAAGCAGUCAGACUGGGGACAUUGCGUCAUCUCCACAUCUGCUGAUGUCCAUUUUUAUGCGCUCUGCAUCGGGGGUACCAGGAGACUCCCCUACUUCCACCACCUUCCCUGUUCCCAGGCUGCAGUUGCCUUCAGCUUCCCUGGGACCCUCAAGCCUGAAAGAAUGGAUGUGAAGCUUUCCAGCUCAGAUCUUCAGAAAGGAGAACAGUUGGCUCCAAUCAAGCCUGUUCUGUUCACAGACUUGUGAAGGGGAAGGGGCACACCAGUUUGAACCCUCGAUUCUGGGACUGGAGGUGUCUGGGAUCUGCUACAAAAAGAUAAGGGGCCUUAAAAAAACCAACAAGAGUUAAAUGUGGCCCCGAGUGUCCCCCUUCUGCCCCAUCCUCUUGUCCCUGCCUUAUAGCUGAUCUGUGGCCCUUAGAUGUGAGAUUCUGCAAGACUGGGGUUUUCAUCUGCAGCUUGGAGCAGGGGUGGUUGGUCUGCCAAACCAUGACUGUCCAGCGUGUCCCUUUCCUGUACUCUGCCACCAAGCCAGGCCCCAGGCUGUGGGGACCACGAGCAAUCAUGGACAUUCCUGUCAAUGACAAAGAACUUCAAAAAUUUGCAGCUGGCAGGAAGAAUCAGGGCAGCCGUCCUUGAAUUUGCCUGAUGCUAGCAGCUGGAUGACUUCAUUCUUCACUAUUUGGGAGGUAAGAGGCAGUGCAGGGUGGGAUGCUAGGUGCAACGCAGUCUCUGUCAGGGCCAACUUUUACCUUCUCUUCCCACAUAUAAUUAUUGAGGGGACCUGGAGGAGUGUAAUCAAGAAGGUUUACGCCAUCAGAUUGGGGUUCCUGGGUGCCCUCCCUGGCUGGGAUGGACUUCCUGUGGGAGGCAGACCUGGAGCCAGGAGUGGGGAGAGGAGAUGCCAGCUUGUGGAUAAAGUGUUCUCUCCAGCCCUUCCUCACCAGAGGGUGAAACUUCAUCAGGAUGAAGCCCAGCGCCAGCCGGAAGCUGCCUUUGCAGCAAAUGAGAGAUUCCUUCCAUCUCUGAAAUUCUCAUGCUCAGGGGGAGCUGUCCUCCAAGGCCUGUGGUCAAGAGAGGGGACUGUGUGUUGAGGGUGUGUGAGGAGGGGCAGAGGCUCAUCUCCCAGGCAAGGAAGCCAGAACGAGCUACAGUGCAAAAGGCCUUUGGAAAGAUUGGAGAGUUCUCAGGUGCUGGGGACCCGGUAGACUUCCAAGCUGUGGAUGAAGCUGCUGAGUGAGGCCUCUGCCCCACAGACCACACUCAUCUAGUGCAGAGAUGGUCACUCAGGAGGUGUUUGUCAUACUAGUGGGGACCAUGAAAACCCUGAAACCCAAAGGCUCAGGCCCAGAGGUGGACAAGAGUCUUAAAAUGCACAAGAGUGCCUCCCAAGUUUUUCUUUGAUUUGACCAGCGUUGACCAGCACCUGUUAUACCAGGGGAACUGCACGUGUGUGUGUGCUAAGUUCUGUCCUGUCUGACUAUUUGUGACCCUAUGGACUGGAGCCCGCCAGGUUCCUCUGUCCAUGAGAUUCUCCAGGCAAGAAUACUGGAAUGGGUUGCCAUCCUCCUCCAGGGAAUCUUCCUGACACAGGGAUCCAACCUCAUCUCCUGCAG
ensembl:lncRNA